UACGGAGGGUGCAAACGUUGCUCGGAAUCAUUGGGCGUAAAGCGCACGUAGGCGGCCUAUCAAGUCGGGUGUGAAAGCCCUGGGCUCAACCCAGGAAGUGCACUCGAAACUGAAGGGCUUGAAUAUGGAAGAGGGUCGCGGAAUUCCCGGUGUAGAGGUGAAAUUCGUAGAUAUCGGGAGGAACACCAGUGGCGAAGGCGGCGACCUGGGCCAAUAUUGACGCUGAGGUGCGAAAGCGUGGGGAGCAAACAGG
rnacentral:rRNA from 1 species